rnacentral:lncRNA from 1 species
GUCUUCUUUCUCCUUCCUUCUUCUCCCUUAUACCCUCUUUUACCUUCUACCGGCUUCACCCUUCUACCAUCGUUACCCUCUCUCCUUUCAAACCCUUCUACUAUCCUAACCCUUCCAUCGUUUUCAUCCUUCGACUGUCUUCCCCCUUCAACCUCCUGACCAUUGGAACAUUGUCUUUCUUCGACACUCGUCUUCCUUCUACUUUUGUCUCCCUGUUUCAAUCCCUGCC